CCUGGCUCCGUUGAACGCUAGCUACAGGCUUAACACAUGCAAGUCGAGGGGCAGCAUGGUCUUAGCUUGCUAAGGCCGAUGGCGACCGGCGCACGGGUGAGUAACACGUAUCCAACCUGCCGUCUACUCUUGGACAGCCUUCUGAAAGGAAGAUUAAUACAAGAUGGCAUCAUGAGUCCGCAUGUUCACAUGAUUAAAGGUAUUCCGGUAGACGAUGGGGAUGCGUUCCAUUAGAUAGUAGGCGGGGUAACGGCCCACCUAGUCUUCGAUGGAUAGGGGUUCUGAGAGGAAGGUCCCCCACAUUGGAACUGAGACACGGUCCAAACUCCUACGGGAGGCAGCAGUGAGGAAUAUUGGUCAAUGGGCGAGAGCCUGAACCAGCCAAGUAGCGUGAAGGAUGACUGCCCUAUGGGUUGUAAACUUCUUUUAUAAAGGAAUAAAGUCGGGUAUGCAUACCCGUUUGCAUGUACUUUAUGAAUAAGGAUCGGCUAACUCCGUGCCAGCAGCCGCGGUAAUACGGAGGAUCCGAGCGUUAUCCGGAUUUAUUGGGUUUAAAGGGAGCGUAGAUGGAUGUUUAAGUCAGUUGUGAAAGUUUGCGGCUCAACCGUAAAAUUGCAGUUGAUACUGGAUAUCUUGAGUGCAGUUGAGGCAGGCGGAAUUCGUGGUGUAGCGGUGAAAUGCUUAGAUAUCACGAAGAACUCCGAUUGCGAAGGCAGCCUGCUAAGCUGCAACUGACAUUGAGGCUCGAAAGUGUGGGUAUCAAACAGGAUUAGAUACCCUGGUAGUCCACACGGUAAACGAUGAAUACUCGCUGUUUGCGAUAUACAGCAAGCGGCCAAGCGAAAGCGUUAAGUAUUCCACCUGGGGAGUACGCCGGCAACGGUGAAACUCAAAGGAAUUGACGGGGGCCCGCACAAGCGGAGGAACAUGUGGUUUAAUUCGAUGAUACGCGAGGAACCUUACCCGGGCUUAAAUUGCAGAUGAAUUACGGUGAAAGCCGUAAGCCGCAAGGCAUCUGUGAAGGUGCUGCAUGGUUGUCGUCAGCUCGUGCCGUGAGGUGUCGGCUUAAGUGCCAUAACGAGCGCAACCCUUGUUGUCAGUUACUAACAGGUUCCGCUGAGGACUCUGACAAGACUGCCAUCGUAAGAUGUGAGGAAGGUGGGGAUGACGUCAAAUCAGCACGGCCCUUACGUCCGGGGCUACACACGUGUUACAAUGGGGGGUACAGAGGGCCGCUACCACGCGAGUGGAUGCCAAUCCCCAAAACCUCUCUCAGUUCGGACUGGAGUCUGCAACCCGACUCCACGAAGCUGGAUUCGCUAGUAAUCGCGCAUCAGCCACGGCGCGGUGAAUACGUUCCCGGGCCUUGUACACACCGCCC
rnacentral:rRNA from 1 species